CUGGCUGCAACUGUUUAAUAAAAACACAGCACUGUGCAAACACGAAAGUGGACGUAUACGGUGUGACGCCUGCCCGGUGCUGGAAGGUUAAUUGAUGGGGUCAGCCGCAAGGCGAAGCUCUUGAUCGAAGCCCCAGUAAACGGCGGCCGUAACUAUAACGGUCCUAAGGUAGCGAAAUUCCUUGUCGGGUAAGUUCCGACCUGCACGAAUGGCGUAAUGAUGGCCAGGCUGUCUCCACCCGAGACUCAGUGAAAUUGAACUCGCUGUGAAGAUGCAGUGUACCCGCGGCAAGACGGAAAGACCCCGUGAACCUUUACUAUAGCUUGACACUGAACAUUGAGCCUUGAUGUGUAGGAUAGGUGGGAGGCAUUGAAGUGUGGACGCCAGUCUGCAUGGAGCCAACCUUGAAAUACCACCCUUUAAUGU
rnacentral:rRNA from 1 species